rnacentral:rRNA from 1 species
AAGUCGAGCGAACGGACGAGGAGCUUGCUUCUCUGAUGUUAGCGGCGGACGGGUGAGUAACACGUGGAUAACCUACCUAUAAGACCGGGAUAACUUCGGGAAACCGGAGCUAAUACCGGAUAAUAUUUUGAACCGCAUGGUUCAAAAGUGAAAGACGGUCUUGCUGUCACUUAUAGAUGGAUCCGCGCUGCAUUAGCUAGUUGGUAAGGUAACGGCUUACCAAGGCAACGAUGCAUAGCCGACCUGAGAGGGUGAUCGGCCGCACUGGAACUGAGACACGGUCCAGACUCCUACGGGAGGCAGCAGUAGGGAAUCUUCCGCAAUGGGCGAAAGCCUGACGGAGCAACGCCGCGUGAGUGAUGAAGGUCUUCGGAUCGUAAAACUCUGUUAUUAGGGAAGAACAUAUGUGUAAGUAACUGUGCACAUCUUGACGGUACCUAAUCAGAAAGCCACGGCUAACUACGUGCCAGCAGCCGCGGUAAUACGUAGGUGGCAAGCGUUAUCCGGAAUUAUUGGGCGUAAAGCGCGCGUAGGCGGUUUUUUAAGUCUGAUGUGAAAGCCCACGGCUCAACCGUGGAGGGUCAUUGGAAACUGGAAAACUUGAGUGCAGAAGAGGAAAGUGGAAUUCCAUGUGUAGCGGUGAAAUGCGCAGAGAUAUGGAGGAACACCAGUGGCGAAGGC